rnacentral:tRNA from 1 species
CCACCUGUAGCUCAAUGGAUCAGAGUGCCCGGUUUCGACCCGGACGGUUGGGAGUUCGAAUCUCUCCAGGUGGA